CCUCCGGGGGAGGGAGUCCAGAGGGCCGGCGCUGCAGUUCUGCCGGGUUCCUGCGGCUCCUCCCCGUGGGGGCGAACACAACACCGAGUUUGUGCCACAUUGCGGCCCACACCUGCUGUAUUCCCCUCUGCGAAGCCAGAGCUUCGGCUAGGCAACGUCACACCUCCUGAGGACAGCCAGGAGGACUCCAGCUUUUGCUGAGCAUUGCAUCUUACCUCUUCCUUUCAAAGGCUCCAGAUCCCAGCUUACCUGUCCUCAAGCUUACCUGUGCCCCAACCAGGCAUCCCACUACCCCUCCAGCCCAGCCCAGCCCUAGAGCUCACCUCCAGGCCCUGGAGCCUGCCCUCCUGCCCAGAAUGACUCACCAUUAUUUCUAGCUCAAGUGAGAAGACGUGAUGGGGUGUCGGGCUGCCCGUUUGUGUAUCUAGGAUUCCUGAAGCAUCGGAUCAGCUCUUCAAGGAAGAGAGCUGCAGAUUCGUGCCUUGCCAGCCAAGCGAGGCUCUCUCUCCAGCUCUCAGGGAGCCCUGGGGGCUCUCCCGCUGGAACCCAGGCUGAUGCCGCUGUGUUUCCUGGGGCCGUAAGCACCAUCCCGAGCUCCCGGCCACCAGGCAGCUAGAAGGCGCAGCGAGAGG
rnacentral:lncRNA from 1 species